UACACGCUGUGACUAGCAUAUCAAUAAGCGGAGGAAAAGAAACUAACAAGGAUUCCCUCAGUAACGGCGAGUGAAGCGAGAAGAGCUCAAAUUUGAAAUCUUGAAAGGUCACCUUUCACGAAUUGUAGUUUAAAGAAGUGUUUUCUGUUACGAUCGUAAUAUAAGUUCUUUGGAAUAGGACAUCACAGAGGGUGAGAAUCCCGUCUAUGAUUGCGAUUUGUAGCUUUGUGAUACACUUUCAAAGAGUCGGGUUGUUUGGGAAUGCAGCCCAAAACGGGAGGUAAAUUUCUUCUAAGGCUAAAUAUUGGCGAGAGACCGAUAGCGAACAAGUACCGUGAGGGAAAGAUGAAAAGAACUUUGAAAAGAGAGUUAAAUAGUACGUGAAAUUGUCAAAAGGGAAGCGUUUAACACCAGUGUUGUUUUCUGAAAAUCAACCUCUGUUAGCUUUAUGCAUGUUUGUUUAGACCUAAUCAGCUAUCUUUCAUGUUCUAUUGUUUGCAGUGGUGCACUUUUCAGUUUACAGGUCAACAUCAGUUUUUUUUACCGUAAAAAAGUUAAAGAAAGGUAGCUCAUGGCUCCGGUCGUGAGUGUUAUAGUCUUUUUCCUAUGCGGUAGGAGAGACUGAGGUCUGCAGUGUAGGCUAUUUGGCUAGAUACUCAGGUGCUAUGCUGAUACCAUUUCAUAAACAACUUGUUGAUUAUGUUUUGUCUAUUGCAUACUCGCUUGUACUAUCAUACCUACGCUUAGGAUGUUGAGUAGCGACAUACGCAC
rnacentral:rRNA from 1 species